rnacentral:rRNA from 1 species
GACAGAGGCCUCAAGCGUUAGGCGGAAUCACUGGGCUUAAAGCGUGUGUAGGCGGAUGCCUAAGUACCUUGUGAAAUCCCACGGCUCAACCGUGGAACUGCUUGGUAUACUGGGUGUCUUGAGCUAUCUAGGGGCGACUGGAACAAGUGGUGGAGCGGUGAAAUGCGUAGAUAUCACUUGGAACGCCAAAGGUGAAAACAGGUCGCUGGGGAUAUGCUGACGCUGAGACACGAAAGCCAGGGGAGCAAACGGG